rnacentral:rRNA from 1 species
UGCAGUCGAGCGGAACGAGUUAUCUGAACCUUCGGGGAACGAUAACGGCGUCGCGCUUUUGGACGGGUGAGUAAUGCCUAGGAAAUUGCCCUGAUGUGGGGGAUAACCAUUGGAAACGAUGGCUAAUACCGCAUGAUGCCUACGGGCCAAAGAGGGGGACCUUCGGGCCUCUCGCGUCAGGAUAUGCCUAGGUGGGAUUAGCUAGUUGGUGAGGUAAGGGCUCACCAAGGCGACGAUCCCUAGCUGGUCUGAGAGGAUGAUCAGCCACACUGGAACUGAGACACGGUCCAGACUCCUACGGGAGGCAGCAGUGGGGAAUAUUGCACAAUGGGCGCAAGCCUGAUGCAGCCAUGCCGCGUGUAUGAAGAAGGCCUUCGGGUUGUAAAGUACUUUCAGUCGUGAGGAAGGUGGUGUAGUUAAUAGCUGCAUUAUUUGACGUUAGCGACAGAAGAAGCACCGGCUAACUCCGUGCCAGCAGCCGCGGGUAAUACGGGAGGGUGCGGAGCGUUAAUCGGGAAUUACUGGGCCGUAAAGCGCAUGCAGGUGGGUUUGUUAAGUCAGAUGUGAAAGCCCGGGGCUCAACCUCGGAAUAGCAUUUGAAACUGGCAGACUAGAGUACUGUAGAGGGGGGUAGAAUUUCAGGUGUAGCGGUGAAAUGCGUAGAGAUCUGAAGGAAUACCGGUGGCGAAGGCGGCCCCCUGGACAGAUACUGACACUCAGAUGCGAAAGCGUGGGGAGCAAACAGGAUUAGAUACCCCUGGUAGUCCACGCCGUAAACGAUGUCUACUUGGGGGGUUGUGGCCUUUGAGCCGUGGGCUUUUCGGAAGCUAACGCCGUUA